CCACGUGUAGCGGUGAAAUGCGUAGAGAUGUGGAGGAACACCAGUGGCGAAGGCGACUCUCUGGUCUGUAACUGACGCUGAGGCGCGAAAGCGUGGGGAGCGAACAGGAUUAGAUACCCUGGUAGUCCACGCCGUAAACGAUGAGUGCUAAGUGUUAGAGGGUUUCCGCCCUUUAGUGCUGCAGCAAACGCAUUAAGCACUCCGCCUGGGGAGUACGGUCGCAAGACUGAAACUCAAAGGAAUUGACGGGGGCCCGCACAAGCGGUGGAGCAUGUGGUUUAAUUCGAAGCAACGCGAAGAACCUUACCAGGUCUUGACAUCCUCUGACAACCCUAGAGAUAGGGCUUCCCCUUCGGGGGCAGAGUGACAGGUGGUGCAUGGUUGUCGUCAGCUCGUGUCGUGAGAUGUUGGGUUAAGUCCCGCAACGAGCGCAACCCUUGAUCUUAGUUGCCAGCAUUCAGUUGGGCACUCUAAGGUGACUGCCGGUGACAAACCGGAGGAAGGUGGGGAUGACGUCAAAUCAUCAUGCCCCUUAUGACCUGGGCUACACACGUGCUACAAUGGGCAGAACAAAGGGCAGCGAAGCCGCGAGGCUAAGCCAAUCCCACAAAUCUGUUCUCAGUUCGGAUCGCAGUCUGCAACUCGACUGC
rnacentral:rRNA from 1 species